rnacentral:tRNA from 15 species
GGCCCUGUAGCUCAAUUGGUAGAGCGUUCCCCUCAUAAGGGAUUGGUUGCAUGUUCGAGUCUUUGCCAGGGUCACCA